UACGAGGGGGGGCGACGUUGUUCGGAAUUAUUGGGCGUAAAGGGUGCGUAGGCGGUUUGGUAAGUCUUUGUGUGAAAUCUUCGGGCUCAACUCGAAGUCUGCACGAGAAACUGCCGGGCUUGAGUAUGGGAGAGGUGAGUGGAAUUCCCGGUGUAGCGGUGAAAUGCGUAGAUAUCGGUAGGAACACCAGUGGCGAAGGCGGUCUCCUGGGGCAUUCUUGACGCUGAGGCGCGAAAGCUGGGGGAGCGAACGGG
rnacentral:rRNA from 1 species